UCGUUUUCCGAGGGGCGCCGGUGAUCCGGCUGAGAUCGCGUAGUGAAAGCGCGAGCACCCUUCGAACCUGAUCCGGGUUAUGCCGGCGAAGGGACGGAGCACAGAGUGGCA
rnacentral:ncRNA from 1 species